AAUGUUUAAAACCUUUUUCCACAUUGAGAACAGCAAUAUAACUUCUCUCCAGCAUCAAUUUCUGUGUGCCUUUGAAAACUGCGUUUGUCAGAAAAAUGUUUGGCAAAAUUCUUGGACAAUAAUGAGGUUUUUCUCCUGUGUGGAUUCUUCUGUGCUUCUGAAGAUAGCUUCUACUUGAGAACGACUUACCACAUUCUGGACAGCAAUGAGGUUUUUCUCCCGUGUGGAUUCUUCUGUGCCUCUGAAGAACGCUUCUGAUUGAGAACAUCAUACCACAUUCUGGACAACAAUGAGGUUUAUCUCCUGUGUGGAUUCCUCUGUGCCUCUGAAGACUGCUGAUACGUGAGAACGAUUUUCCACAUUCUAGACAGCAAUGAGGUUUUUCUCCUGUGUGGAUUCUUCUGUGCGUCUGAAGAUUGCUUCUCCUUGAGAACGACAUACCACAUUCUGGACAGCAAUGAGGUUUUUCUCCUGUGUGGAUUCUUCUGUGACUCUGAAGAUGGCUUCUCCUUAAGAAUGACUUACCACAUUCUGGACAGCAAUGAGGUUU